rnacentral:rRNA from 1 species
UACGUAGGUGGCAAGCGUUAUCCGGAUUUACUGGGUGUAAAGGGCGUGUAGGCGGGACUGCAAGUCAGAUGUGAAAACCACGGGCUCAACCUGUGGCCUGCAUUUGAAACUGGCAGUCUCGAGUUGGAGAGAAGUAUGCGGAAUGCGCGGUGUAGCGGUGAAAUGCAUAGAUAUCGCGCAGAACUCCGAUUGCGAAGGCAGCAUGCCGGCUCCACACUGACGCUGAGGCACGAAAGCGUGGGUAUCGAACAGG